UCUCACAUAAUCACUAGAAGGCUGCUCUGUUCCUCUCCAAGACUACUUCAUAUAUGAGUACCAUUGUUGGAUCUCAACCACCAGCGUCCUUCUAAACAUUGUCAAGCAUUCCCCUUGGGAUCCCACACUAAACCACAGCUCACAUCUGAGACACUUUUCUAUUCAAAAUCCUUAGACAGGCUCCACAGGGGAAAUGGCACACGGUUCAAGAGGAUACAUCUUUUUGAAUGUCUGACUAACAAAUCCUUGGAUCUCAAAAGAUAACGGUAGAAUCAGAAGGACCCCAGACAGUCUGCUUCCUGCUCAAUGUGGUCUCAUCAUCCAGAUCAUUCUGUGCAAGGAGACAGUAAUGAUAGGAAUGAAAAAAAUUGUGUCUACAUAUAAUCUACUGGUUCCCUAAAGCUGAGAAAAGCAAUGCCAAGUUGAUUAAUAUGGAUCCCUUAAUUUCUGUAAUCGUUUGCAACCUAGUCUUUAUGGGGGAAUUUUUCUUAGACUUAACAUAAUGCUACCUCCUUGGCUAUAAACUUCUGUUGUUGU